rnacentral:rRNA from 1 species
GACGAACGCUGGCGGCGUGCCUAACACAUGCAAGUCGAGCGGGAACCUCAGGAGGGGUAACCCACCUGAGGGGAGAGCGGCGAACGGGUGAGUAUCACGUGGGCAACCUGCCCCGGACACCGGGAUAACCCAGGGAAACCUGAGCUAAUACCGGAUACUCCGGCGCGACCACAUGGUCGCUCCGGGAAAGCCUUGACGGUCCGGGAUGGGCCCGCGGCCUAUCAGCUUGUUGGUGGGUAACGCCCACCAAGGCGACGACGGGUAGCUGGUCUGAGAGGACGGCCAGCCACACUGGGACUGAGACACGGCCCAGACUCCUACGGGAGGCAGCAGUGGGGGAUCUUGCGCUAAUGCGCGAAAGCGUGACGCAGCGACGCCGCGUGGGGAUGAAGGCCCUCGGGUUGUAAACCCCUUUCGGCAGGGACGAAGCGAAAGUGACGGUACCUGCAGAAGAAGUCCCGGCUAACUACGUGCCAGCCGCCGCGGUAA